GACGAACGCUGGCGGCGUGCUUAACACAUGCAAGUCGAACGGAAAGGCCCUGCCUUUGUGGGGUGCUCGAGUGGCGAACGGGUGAGUAACACGUGAGUGACCUGCCCUGGACUUCGGGAUAACUUUAGGAAACUGGGGCUAAUACCGGAUAGGAGCUCCUGUUGGAUGGUGUGGGGGGGAAAGUUUCGGCGGGGGGGGAUGGAGCCGCGGCUUAUCAGCUUGUUGGUGGGGUAGUGGCUUACCAAGGCGUCGACGGGUAGCCGGCCUGAGAGGGUGACCGGCCACAUUGGGACUGAGAUACGGCCCAGACUCCUACGGGAGGCAGCAGUGGGGAAUAUUGCACAAUGGGCGGAAGCCUGAUGCAGCAACGCCGCGUGCGGGAUGACGGCCUUCGGGUUGUAAACCGCUUUCGCCUGUGACGAAGCGUGAGUGACGGUAAUGGGUAAAGAAGCACCGGCUAACUACGUG
rnacentral:rRNA from 1 species